GGGAGCACAAGGGGGUGGGAGCUGGGCUCUUCCCCCAUCCCCAGCUUCCUGCUCCAGCCCAGUAUAAGGGGCUGGCACGGCUGGACCAGGCAGAGCUCCCCGGACUGGUGGCUGUCACAGAGCUCCACCCAAGAUGAAGCUGUCCCUGGUCCUGUCACUUGCCCUGCUAGGGGCCGUCUCUGCUCACCAGCUCGAUGCAGGUGCUCUGGAGCAGGAGAUCCCGGAUGAAGAGGGUGAGGAGGAGUCUGGGGAGCCAGAGCCACCCUGCCCCACGGAGAGUGAGAUCGUCCGGAUGGUCGUGCCAGGCACUGGGGGCCGCACCUACCGCUAUGUGUUUGUGAGCAGUUGCCAGACUUUUAGGGGUGCCCAGG